CUACGGACUUAAUUGGAUUGAGCCUUGGUAUAGAAACCUACUAAGUGGUAACUUUCAAAUUCAGAGAAACCCCAGAAUUAAUAAAAAUGGGCAAUCCUGAGCCAAAUCCUGUUUUCCCAAAACAAAGGUUCAGAAAGAAAAAAUGAUAGGUGCAGAGACUCAAUGGAAAUUGUUCUAACAAAUGGAGUGGACUGCGUUGGUAGAGGAAUCUUUCCAUCGAAACUUCAGAAAGGAUGAAGGAUAAACGUAUAUAUUGAAUAAUAUAU
rnacentral:ncRNA from 1 species